UCGAGUCAGGGCAAAGCUUCCUGGAUCUGUCUCUGGGCUCUGUUACCAGACGGUGGCACGAGUCCCGUUUCCCAAAGCCUGUUCGCUUUACACGCUUUAUGUCAAGUGUCCCCGUAUGAGGAAUGGUUCCCUCGCCUGUUUUAUCACUUCAGUGUCUUACGUGGAAUAGAGAAGAUCUUAAUUUGGCAGGAACAGCGUGAGCAUACUAAGGGCACGAGAAGAUCUUGUCGCAAUGAGCGAUGAACCUUGACAGCGGCUCCUUAGGACAUCACCUUCUGAAACUGACUUCACCCUUCACCCUUCCUGACCUCCAGGGUUGUCAGUGUGGGUGGCACUGGGCCGGAAGACCCUUAAGAUGGCAUACGAGGCGGAAGGGAGAAAUGAUGCCAGUUCUACACAGGCAUUCAGAAGGGGGUCUUUUCCCGCAGCCUCUGAAGAGACAGGUGCAAAGACCCCAGGAGUUGAGACGACAUCGGAACUGUUGGGAGUGGUCAUGCCUUGACACUUCUGCUGCUCUUGGACUCGGCAAGCACUGCAAGACUUCUCUAUGGGAUCCCAGGCAAGUGAACGCCCUUCAGCUGAAAAAUGGGGCAGGAGAAUUGGGCUCAACUUCCUUCUUGCCUCAUGACCUUUGCCGUGUCAUUGUAUGGCUUUCUAUUUAUAAAAAGGUAAUUCACGGCGUC